GGCCAUGACUCCGCAGUUCCCAUAGAGAUGCAUUUACACAUUCUGUUUUCUGAAUGUUGUCUUGCCUCCAAGAUGUGGGUUAGUGCACUCCUACCAUAGCAGAGAAUCUACGUUGCCUUCACAGUGGGCUCUAAUGUACAACAGAGGUGAUGCUAAAGCUUGAGUUAUUCUGGCAGCUUCCUCAGCAUCCUACUUUAUUUCUCUUUUGCAGAGGGUCCCUUCUUUUGCUAGGACAUCUCCUUGGAAUGGCAGCUGUGGCUGAACUGCCAAAGCUGACUGACAGCCGGUACCCAGCCUUGAACCAAAACAACUGCUUCCAGGAAAAGCAUCCUGUUCUAAGAAAUCACAUUCCAAAUCUCAUGAAGAAUUGUGUGUGAGAAUCUCACACUGAGGCAUAUGACGUUUUUUGGCGUUACCAGUUUGUUUUCUGCAGUUCAAGAUGUCCAAAAUCUUCCAUUUUAUGGAAUCAUUCUUCUGCUGUAUUUGUGGAGGAAAGGAUUUUUGCAGGAUGUGUGACAAGGACUUUGCUACUCCACUGGAUCAGAGGAAUCUGUCCUAGAGCUGUCUUUGAAUAGUUUGCUUGUCUGCAUUCACCAUCUAUCUUUCAACAAUCAGCAGAAAAGAAAAGAAGCCGAGUAAUGCUGCUGGUUAGAAGUUUUCUUCACUGUUCACUGAAAAUGAGCACAUAGUCUGAAGCCAGCAGAGGGGUCUGAGGAGAGUGAAUACAGUCUGCAAAAUAGUAGAUUCAAAAAAAAAAAAAAGGGGGGGGGGGGACAGCAUAAUUUUUAUAGCCCUGAGAAGUAAUUUAAUAAAGGUAUUGUAUGUCUUGCAUGUCUUUUGUUUUUCUUUCAAUGAAGCUUCCCCAAAUAGUUCACAAAUAGUUUCUUUAGCAGGGGAAUUUGACACUAUUGUUCGAUACAGUGAUGUGCCCACAACACUGGGAAGUAAUGUUUUUCUACAAGGAAGGGAUUUUUUUGCAUGGCUGUGCUUUCACUUUUUGAUGUGAGUGAGGUGAUCUAUACCCAGGUCAAUGCUUUGGAAUGCUUUUUAAAAAUGUUUAAAGAAAAAAAAAAAAAGAAAAAGAAACAAAACCCCAUCUUCUAGAUUUCCUAUAUAGUAGAUCCCUUUUACUCCUUUGCAGAAUGCCAGGAACCUAAACAAAAGCCUGUCUAUAAACAGAGCUAUCAAGCCAAAAAGGGCCCUGCUGAGCUUUUAUUCACCUGUUCUGUUUUUCUAUAGUCCUUCAUGAGAGCCAUAUUUCUGAGUUCUGUCAUUCAUAUACUUUAUGGAAAUGGCUACCUGGUUAUGGGCAUGCUGAAUGCCUGCAGAACAGUGAAGAAUGAUCAUUUUAAAGACAUUUGUAAAAGCAAUAUUAAGCUUGGUGUU
rnacentral:lncRNA from 7 species